rnacentral:rRNA from 1 species
GAGGAGGAAGGGUAGUGUGUUAAUAGCACAUUGCAUUGACGUUACUCGCAGAAGAAGCACCGGCUAACUCCGUGCCAGCAGCCGCGGUAAUACGGAGGGUGCAAGCGUUAAUCGGAAUUACUGGGCGUAAAGCGCACGCACGCGGUUUGUUAAGUCAGAUGUGAAAUCCCCGCGCUUUACGUGGGAACUGCAUUUGAAACUGGCAAGCUAGAGUCUUGUAGAGGGGGGUAGAAUUCCAGGUGUAGCGGUGAAAUGCGUAUAGAUCUGGAGGA